CUUUUUCUAGAGACGGCCGAUAGAAGCAGAUAUGCCUCUCGCUAAAGAUUUACUGCAUCCCUCUUUGGAGGAGGAGAAGAGAACACACGCAUAAUUGUUUCUUUGAUUUACGACCCUGGGUCAGAUCAUCAAUCGUCUCAGAAGAUUCCACACCCAGGCUUUGUGUGCUACAGCUAUAAUACUGAUGAAUUACUGGUGAUACUUUGCUAUUUCUAUUGAGUGCCAAUUUUGUUACUCUGUACUGUAUUAACAAAACCAAUUGAUGAAUUAUCAAUAAAGUUUGAGUAUCACAAACUCC
rnacentral:misc_RNA from 1 species